UCCCAGGACGGAGUAGAUCACUGAGCAACCCUGGGGAUAGACAUUUGAGUGUAACCAGCCCCCUACUAUCUCACUCACCAAGACCAGUCUUCCUGCCUUGGAGACAGAAAGGGAGGAAAACCAGUGGGAUGUUCCCAGCCACAAUUGCUUGCUCUGACCUCACAAGGAACCAUGGUGAGGAAUGACAGACACCUGUCCACAUACACUCUGGCUGAGGCUGCCUGUGGUCCUGAGAGUACAGAAGCUGUUGGUUGGUUGGAAAGCAAUUGGAGUUCAGUGCUGCUGAGAGAUUACACUUGGACUUUCUGAAGAUGUUGGACCCUGACAUAGAGAGGUUUCUCUCCACCCAGUUGGGUUCCUAUCAAGGAAGGCCUGAUCAUAGAACAGGACCUGGAGGCCUGCUAUUCUAUUGAGGAGAACUUCACUACUGACUAUAAGGUAAGAUGUGUGAUAUAUCCUGCCAAGUUCCUCUUCUUAAGCAUAUGUCCUUGAGAGACUCUCCAAGCCUGAAGAAAAUGGUCUUAGUCAAAUAUAGAUACUGUGUACCAUAAACUUGCCACAUAAUAAUUUGUA